rnacentral:lncRNA from 7 species
GAGAAAGAAGAAAUUAAGAAACACGUUUAAAGCAAACAAACCGAAGGCAUAGACAUCUGAGUUUUUUCUUCAAGUAUAUUUACAUUUUUUAGUCAUUCAAGCCUAUUGUUUUGCACUGCUUUUCUGACGUCAGCCAAGGAAAGCAUUUGCCCGUGCCACACAAGCCUGUCCAUCUGUGCCGCAUCCAAGACUUGGGUCACAGAUUCGGAUGUUGUGCAUCGCUAGAUCUAUUCCUGGCUUUGCAGUGGAUGGGCAGCGUGACGUUGAGCAAGGAGCACAGACACAUCUGCCAGCCUCUUACUCAGCCCUAGUGGCUUUGUGGCAGCUUGGGAUCAGCCAUGGUGUUUGGACCAGAAGGGGAAACUCUGUUGGGCUGCUCAUCUCCUUUCCCAGAGGCGUCUGCUCCCUGUGCAGGCUGAAAGACACUUUGGGAAGCCAGAGCAAACAAAGGGGAGGUUGGGAGAAGAGUAUUUACGCCAUGGUAUUCCAGCUGAGACAAGCUGCUGUGAAAGGGUCAUCAGGAAUACAUGGAAACCAUACUAACUGUAUGGUUCAGUUGUGAUCACCUUUGAGGGCAGCCAUAAUCUGCCCAAAGAGCAGCCAGAAAGUAAUAGAAUGAAAAGGAAAAGGAAGGAGAGGAGAGGAGUAGUUCUGUUGGAAGGGACCCUCAGAAGCUAUCUAGUCCAACUGUCUGAUCUCUUCAGGGCAGAUAUCUGCCACCUCCAACGAGACAUCCAGCCCUCAGCAGCAGUAUCUGCAAGCAAAUGCCAUGCCUUGGCCCCGUGCACAUCUGCUAGUUUCCUUCCUUAUUGCUGCUCCACUGACCUGCUGAAAGAGCCUUUGGCUCACAGCCUCAGAGUCUGGGACUGCUUCUGAAGCCACUCCAGAGCAGUGGAUUGCAUCUUCCUAAAUCAAGUGCAAAGUCAGGGGCUAAACCAAGAUUAAGGAUCAGAUAUUUUAGUCUGAGGACAUCCUGAGAGCUUCAUCUGAAUAGCUUGGCUUAAAAUAAAUAACCCAUUUUGAAU